UUUAAAUUUCAUUUUCAACGUAGCUCCGCAUUUUCAAAUCGAAUUCAUUUUAAGAUUAAGGAUGUACAUGACCCAUAUAUGAUUUUUAUAAAUGAAUUACUAGAGACUUGAAUUUCGAGAUCUUUGCUGUAACUUUUAUACCACGUAGAGUCAUCUUGUAAAAAAUUAAAUCAUUAAUGAUGGACUGUAUGCAUUUAUUUAAAUCUUGAAUUUAACUAGGCUGGCAAAAGUCUCAAAACUAAUCACGUGGUCAUCAAUUUAUGAAAGUUUGUGUAAAUUUAAUGAAAAAUUAAUUUGGUCCACACCUCAAGAGAAAAAUCUUUUUACUUUUAACUAUUUAAAUAUUUAAACUUUUAACGAAAUAGUUGAAUCAAUAGAGCUCGAAAUCAAACUCACACAUAAUUGUAAAUUCUUGUAAAAGAAUAUCAAACAGUACUGAUAGUUACAUACCCUACAUAUAGAAAUCACCGGUGCGUGUGUGUACAUCUUUUGUGUAUAUAUAUAUAAGUAGCCAGCAUACCCUCAGUAUCCAAAGUAGAUAGGUGAGUCAUUUAGGAAAAAAGAUAAGAGAGGGAGAGAGAAAUGGUUCAAGAAGAAACAAGAAAAGGUCCAUGGACCGAACAAGAAGAUGCUCAGCUUGUAUUGUNUUUAUGCCAAACAAUUGUCUCUCCUACAUGGGAUUUUUUUCAAGACUCCUCCCUAUGGCCCAUAGAUAAAGAAGAACAAAGCAAGAUGGUCCUCCCAGUGAGUGAUCAUUUUAAUUCUUUUACCUUUUACAAUCAGGAAAUGACCGGCUAAUCAGAUGUUCAUUUACUUAAGGAAAAAAAAAAUUUGUUUAUAGAUUUACUAUUUAGGUUUCAUAAGGAGGUUCUAACUUUUGUAUAGUCUUUUGGGUUUCCUUUCUCAAGUCAUCAGUGUAAUAAUCGUAUGUGUAACUCUAGUUUGUAUCCUUGUAAAUAUUUAGUGGAGUGAUCCUCAAAUGGUGUUCCUUUGAGGAAUCUUUUAUCUUAAUCACUGUAUCUUUUACCGUGGUCACAAUUUUUUUCAUUUUAUAUAACUUUUUCUUUUGUCAUGGACGCCAAAAUGGAUUUCAAGAUGGAUGAGACAACAGAAACUUAAA
rnacentral:lncRNA from 1 species